ACACUCGCAAGCUCCGAUCCAGGAAGAAUAAAACUACACAGUAGUAUAUAUGCUGAUGUAUUGCCACCUGUUAUACUACUACAACCGUUGCAUGGUUGCGAGGGCAGGAGAAGUUCCCUUACCUUCCCGAAUGUAACGCGUGCAUGGUAUCGCCGCGCCUCGUUUACGUUGGUCGAGGCAUCGCUCAUAUUGUACGGUUUGGAUUACUUGAAUAAAUAUUCUUAACCAUCCUUAUAUGUAUUGUGUAACGG
rnacentral:lncRNA from 1 species